rnacentral:misc_RNA from 1 species
UCCGGCUUAUCACCGGCAGUUUCCUCAGAGUGCCCACCAUAACGUGCUGGCAACAGAGGACGAGGGUUGCGCUCGUUGCGGGACUUAACCCAACAUCUCACGACACGAGCUGACGACAGCCAUGCAGCACCUGUGCACCUCCCACCCGAAGUGAAGGAUCACCUUUCAGCAAUCCAUAGAGGGCAUGUCAAAUCCUGGUAAGGUUCUUCGCGUUGCCUCGAAUUAAACCACAUGUUCCACCGCUUGUGCGGGUCCCCGUCAAUUUCUUUGAGUUUUAAUCUUGCGACCGUACUCCCCAGGCGGGGUGCUUAACGCGUUAACUACGCCACUAAGAGGUAACCCCCUAACGGCUAGCACCCAUCGUUUACAGCGUGGACUAC